rnacentral:rRNA from 1 species
CCUGGCGGCCUUAGCGCGGUGGUCCCACCUGACCCCAUGCCGAACUCAGAAGUGAAACGCCGUAGCGCCAGCGACAUGCCGGGGUG